GCCCGCGCGGCCCCCGGGAAGGGCCCGUCUCGGCCCUCCGUGCCAGCUCGGGGGCGGCUGGCGGGGAGCGCGCUGGCGGGGCAAGGGAGGGAGCGGUGUCGCUGUCCCGCCCGAGCAGUCGAGGCGGAGGUGUCUGAGGGGGGCGGGCGGCGGGCCCCGGGCGGGCGGGCACUCUGCUGAGGUAACCCAGCGCAGGAGGAGUCCGGGGUCCCUGAUCACCCCCCGCCCAGAUCCCAAAAUACAGUUUGGAGGUGGUCAUUGCCCUUACGCAAAAAAAGUUGCAUCGUCGUUGGUGUUUCUUGUGCCCAGUGGCGGGGCGACAAUGAUCAUGGACUCUGGGCUACCUUUUGUAAAAAUAGCAUUCGAGGGCGGGCUGAUGGUACAGCUGGAAACACUAGUUGUAGUCGUUAGAAAAUGUGAAAGCACGCACAAACCUACAGCACAAAGAGAAAUGUGUAAGAAUUGGAUGCUAUUUGCAUCACGUGUUCUUGAGCGAAAGGAAAGCUGCUUAAGUACUUUUGGUUGCUGCAUAAGAGAUGAAAAUAUGUUUCUAAAUUGUUUAACUACUCAGUAUAAAUAGUUACUACAGAGGCUUAUUGCUUAAUUCCCAUGACACUGCUUAAGCAAACGACCUAUGUGUGCUUCUCCUUUCUCACUGUUAGUUAAAAUUUAAUAUUGAUACUGUGUAUUUGGGGAUCCUAAAAUCUCUUGCGUUCCUUCGAAGUUGUCUUGCAGUGCUAUAGCUGAAAAUCAUUCUAGUUACAAAACUGACACAAAUGAUACCAGUGGCAGUGAUGGCUUGUCGGGCUUUGCUUCUUUCAGUGCUAUAGAUCUAAGACUGCUGCUGCAGUAUUACAAAGGUACUUUUUUAUAUGUAAUCUUCCAGAGCCAUUUGCAGCUGUGCUAAGGAGUAACACUGGCAACUUGGGACAAAAAACAGACCUCUGUUUUCUCAAAGACUUGCUAAUCUAACUAGUUCAGUGUAGUGUUUAUUUUUACAAAGCCCUGGGUUUUGUGUCCUGUCACUUUCUUGUUGGUUGCCCUAACUCUGAUGUUCCUCUCAGCUGAUUGUGUGGCGUGACAAGCCUUGCACUUUUGUAUGUGGAAAACUUCAACUGUGUCAUGAUAUUUUAUUUUUUCUUAGUCGCUUAAAUGCUUGGAUAAAACAUCCCAUGUUUAAAUAUAGGUAAAUUAAGCUUUACUUUGCUGUUAUAAGUAAGGGCCACAUAUCACCAAAGUAGAAUAUAAGCUGUUCAUAAAAUUGUAGUUCUCAAAUAUUCAAAGCCACUUCAAAUUGUAUGUGGCCCAGCCUGAAGAAGGGAACCCCCUGCUACCUGUUGUGAUAUCUGCAUAAAAAGAAAGUAUUUUAAAAUCCUGGCAUAGAUAAGUGACUGAAUAAACAGUUUAACACUGAAAAGGAAAGACUGAUCCAAUAGCAUAUGCAGGGAAAAUUAGAUGAUUAAAACUUAAUGUGCAGAACUGCAUUUAAAAAAUGUGCCUAUUAUUAGCAUGUCUAAAAUAAUAACUACAGUGUCCUACAAACAUAAUCACUAAUGCCCAUAAAGUAUCUGUUUAAAAACAAACCCACCUCUACCCCUACAUUUCCCAAAGUCAAACAAACCAUAGAAAUAUAAUAGUAACUUUUUUUUUUUUUUUUUUUUUUUUUCUUAGAAAGCUUCCUUGGUAAUGCAGUCAAAGGCAUGUGAAACUGUUUCUGGAGUUGUACUGUUCUGUUUUGUCACCAAGUGCCAAAACUUUAAAUGGAGGUCGUUUAACAAUCCAGUUGUAGGACUGAGUCUGAAAUUGAUUUAUUUUUUUGAAAUAGUGCAACAGGUAUUUCUUAAUCAUGAAUAAGGUACAUUUUUGUUGUAAAACUUAAGUAUUUCAGUCUAUCAAGGUGAAGAUAUUGACAUUUUUUUUUUUUCCCUCCCAAAGUAUUGCAGUUAUAGAUGCCUGGAAUGCCAGUGACAGUGGGACAACCGAUGCCUGCAGCUGUACCAAAUAUGCCUCAUGGUGCCAGUUCUGAAUGUUCUGCAUGUGCUGGUACUUAGUCUGCUGCUGCUGACCCCAUGUUGACUUACUUCAGUGCUAUUCCUGAAAUACCUUAGUAUAAUGUUCCCAGUGAUAAUCAUUCUUCUUCAGGUAAAAUGUACAGUUUUCAACAGUAAUUGUAAUUAUAGUUGACAGUAGAGUUUACAGUACUAUAGACUUGAUACACAUGUUGCCGUUUAAUAAGAUAAAAUUAACCAAAAUACAUUGGUAGUUGACAUUCAGAUUCUCACUGCCAUGUUGAAAUAGUGUUUCUUUAGGUUUUCUGUACCUUAUUAUACAUGUUAGUGCUAAAAUUCUGUACGCAGAUAACAGAACCUUAAAAGCCAGUUGUGAAACUUUUGAGAAUAGGAUUUCAGUUAAUUUUGUUCUGUAUUGCAUAUGGAACUUGGCUAGGAAAGUAUAGAGCAGACAUAUAACUUUCCCGGCUAACAUCACCAGGCACUGGAAUCUCCAGAAUAGUUGAUGCUUGUUUUUCAAGGUAUUUCUUCUGGCAUGAGGUCCUAAAUUUGACAUUUAUGCUAUUUAAGAUCAUACAAUUUUUAAAGUGGAGGGCGGGCUUAUAAAUGUUGUGAGAAUAAACAUAUUUUUUGUAGAUAUAUAUGGAAUGUGUUUGCUUUGAAAAGUUACGUGGUGUUUGUUGAAAAGGCAGUAUUAAAUACUGUAAGUAUUUUUAUAUAUUGUUAAUAGUGAUAGGUGGUGUUCUGUUCCAAGAGUCUGCAUUCACAUUCAUAUGACUGACAGAUGGUAAUAUGACCAGUGCAAUGUCACGUGUUAAAAGGAGUAAUAGUCAGGGAAUUCAGUAGUUCUGUAUGGGGAAAAAGACCAAGGAAAGGUGACAAAGAUUCAUAGAGGUCAUGUGUAUAGCCCCACAGAUUACGAGAUGGUUCUGGCUUCUGUGGUGGCGACAUGCACCUUCUCAAGAACAUAGAUUUGCAGAAGCAAUGUAUUGGAAGAUCUCCAGUUACAAAAUGGCUUCAUUCAUGUUAAGUUAACCACCAGCAGUAUGACCAUUAGAUAUCAGAAGUUCCAUUAAACUUUCACAGUUUCUCGAAAGGAAAAUUAAGAUAAAGAUCUUGCAGCGCACUAUGGCAUUUUGAGCGCUGAAUUGCUGGAGGAAAAGAGGAUCACCGACAUAGGAAAAUUUGUGUUUGGAGGAACUGCCGAGAAUGGAAACUAUUGUAGAGUUUUAAACAUUCCUGUUUGAUAAGACGAUGCACUUUGAAUUAAUACUUCACUUUUUAAGUGCUCAAUUCACAGCAAUAAAUAUUUUUUUGCCUUUUACUAUAUUUAAAGCAUGACUUAUUUUAUCUGCACAUGUGUAAUUCCAGACAAGUAAAUUUCUGUGUUAAGCCUAAGAGCUUAAUGAAAAGGAAAAGCUUAUGGUCAUACAUAACAGGCCAUGUCUUAUAAAUGAUUAGUUUGCUUACACAAAUAAAACAAGAUACCCUAAAUGA